rnacentral:rRNA from 1 species
AUCUGGGGGAUAGCCUUUCGAAAGGAAGAUUAAUACCCCAUAAUAUAAUGAUUGGCAUCAAUUAUUAUUGAAAACUCCGGUGGAUAGAGAUGGGCACGCGCAAGAUUAGAUAGUUGGUGAGGUAACGGCUCACCAAGUCUGUGAUCUUUAGGGGUCCGUGAGAGGGAGAUCCCCCACACUGGUACUGAGACACGGACCAG